rnacentral:tRNA from 1 species
AGACCUGUAGCACAAUAGGUGAGUGCGCCAUCCUUUUAAGUUGAGAGAUUCGGGUUCGAGUCCCGACAGGUCUACCA